AUUGCUUCUCAGCAUUUUGGCUAAGAUCAAAUGUAGUAUCUGUUCUUAUCUGUUUAAUAGAUUAUGUUUAAAUUUCUGUUAUCAUGUAUCACAUAUAACAUGCAUCGCUU
rnacentral:snRNA from 1 species